UCAGCUCCAGGACUCAACAUCAUGGAGUAUACAGUGAAUUAUAGCGUGAUAAAGUUAUAAUUUUCACUAAAUUUUCAACUGCACACACUUACCAGUGAACUGUGUGUAAAUCAUCAACUGCCUGUGUAUCAGCUGAUUUUUACACCAGCUUUACAUCCUGAGCAGAAGAUUGUCGUGGAGAGGACGGACCCUUGAUGCUCUGCCUUUUUGCACCACUAAUACAUGCAUGUAUUUUAUUAAUUUGUAAAUAAAGUCUUUAAUAUAAUUUAUAGUUGAGUAUUUAUUUCUAGUUUGCUUAUUAUUUAGCAAAACAUUUAAAGUGCAUGUAAAGCAUUGCUGCAAAU